ACAGAUAGACACGGACACAAUUUGUGCCGCACAAACGGAAGUUAGUGAAGCACCUGGGGAGAAACACAAGAUACAACACAGUCGUACGUGUGCCUGCGCAACGAACGCCAUCCCAGUGCAGCCGAGGUCAGGUGGUGUGAGACGAGAACUUUUCAGCGAUGACGGUGAUAUGGUUAUGAGUCUCCUGAGUAAUGGAUGUGAUGAACAGGUUUCGAGAACCAACAGCAGUUCCAGUCUAAACUGCUUUGGAUAAAACGACCGGGAACACUGAGAACCUACACAGACCCUCCCCAUAGAGACACUUGUUUCACCUCAGGACAACUGACCGCAGGACAACUGACCGCAGGACAACUGACCUCAGGACAGCAGAACAGACGGAGCUUCAAAAAGCCUUUCCUGACCCGACCUCGGCCCCAUCCCGUCCUGUUCUAACUGGAACACACCCUGGAUCGGGUUCAUCCCAGCUUCCGUUCAUCUCUUGAUCUGACCAGAACACACUCUGAAUCUCCCACAUUCCUCCCGGCUCUCUGUUCUUAGGCUAGCCCGCUCCAAUCACUCAACCUUUUUUUUUUUAUAGUUUUCAUUUCCUGUUUUCUCUUCUCCUCCUUAAACCCGGCCAUGCAAGAAGACUGAGAACUGAGGCAGGUAGACGGAAACUCUCUUAAGGUUCACCCUGUUGCUGCAAA